CCUACGGGAGGCAGCAGUGAGGAAUAUUGGUCAAUGGAGGCAACUCUGAACCAGCCAUGCCGCGUGCAGGAAGACUGCCCUAUGGGUUGUAAACUGCUUUUAUACAGGAAGAAACUUAUCCACGUGUGGAUAACUGACGGUACUGUACGAAUAAGGACCGGCUAACUCCGUGCCAGCAGCCGCGGUAAUACGGAGGGUCCAAGCGUUAUCCGGAAUCAUUGGGUUUAAAGGGUCCGUAGGCGGAUGAUUAAGUCAGGGGUGAAAGUUUGCAGCUCAACUGUAAAAUUGCCUUUGAUACUGGUUAUCUUGAGUUGUAUUGAAGUAGGCGGAAUAUGUAGUGUAGCGGUGAAAUGCAUAGAUAUUACAUAGAACACCAAUUGCGAAGGCAGCUUACUAAGUACUAACUGACGCUGAUGGACGAAAGCGUGGGUAGCGAACAGGAUUAGAUACCCUGGUAGUCCGCGCCGUAAACGAUGGAUACUAGCUGUUCGGGGCCUUGAGCUCUGAGCGGCUAAGCGAAAGUGAUAAGUAUCCCACCUGGGGAGUACGUUCGCAAGAAUGAAACUCAAAGGAAUUGACGG
rnacentral:rRNA from 1 species